GUUGCAGUGAGUCGAGAUCAUGCCACUGCACUCCAGCCUGGGUGACAAAGCGGGAUUCUGUUUCAAAAAAAAAAAAGAAGAAGAAAGAAAGAAAGAAAGAAAGAAAGAAGGAAGGGAAAGAAAGAAAGAGAGAGAGAGAAAGAAAGAAAGGAAGAGAAAGAAAGAAGGAAAGAAAGAGGCGACUGUGGAAAAGGAUGAUUAGGGACGCUAAGGAAGUAAUGUGAUGGGUGUGAGCUGACUGUGAAAGUGACUCUCUAAGUCAUUGCAAUGCACUCUGUGGGAAGAAUGUGCUAGCCCAGCAAGGCUGUCUUUGUGAUGUCCGAUGUGUACGUGCGUGGGGAGGCGCUCCCAAAAGCUGCGCUGGGGCAGGGUGUCCUGAACGGCGUUACCAGAUGUAUCUUGACAAAGAGGUUGGCACCACCAUGAAGACCAAUUCAACCAGCUCUCCUAGCCCAGCUUCCAUGCUCUUCAAGGAGACUUCCCACUGAACUUCCGAAUACCCUUGUGUGAAACUGCCACAGGCAGUGAAUGUGCUCAUCAGCAAACCCAAGUAUCUGGUUGGUUUGACAGGGGUUUUGUUAUUCAUUAGAAAUGAAUGAAUUGGCAUGUUGGCUGAAUCCAUUCCUCUCCUA
rnacentral:lncRNA from 1 species